rnacentral:lncRNA from 1 species
CUCGCCUCGGGCCAGACGAGCCUCCGACUGCGCUCCCUCCAGGAGUCCCCGGAGAUUGCCUUUCUCCUCCUCGGCCGCCUUCGCCUCGGACCUUAAGCGAAGGACCUCGGCCUCCAGCGCCAAUGCGCGCUCGUCGGCCGCCCCUGCCUUAGCUCGGAGACGCGCCGCCUCCGCCUCGAGCUCCGAGGAGCGCUGCUCGGCCGUCGCAACCGCCUCCGGAGAUGCCCCGGCCCGAACCUCCUCGAGCUGCUUGCGCAGC